rnacentral:piRNA from 1 species
UACUACUGAGUGUACACAGACAGUGUCUGAGU